AAUCAUUCCCCUAUGAUGUGGCAUUUAUUUGCAGAUAAGUCUGAUGGUUGUCGCCUGUGACAGAAAGGUAAUCAGCUACUUGGUGAUACAAAGAGACAGUGUCGAGGCUCCUGGGGACAUAUAGACGAACAAAUCUCAUGAAGAAAAUGCAAAGCAUGACAAAAUCCAUGAGACUUAAGAAAGAGGAACAAUUCAUCAUACUGCAGGGACCCCCGACAGUUUCCUGUUUAUAAUGCCAGUCAGACUGUUAGACCAGAAUCUAAAAUAAUGCAACAUAAUGCAACACUUCAGUGCACUUAUAUAUUUUUUUAAUGGGAAGCAACAUAAGAUUUUAUAUGAAAUAGACUAAAGUUAUAAGUCUUGCAGGGAUUUCUGGGACGGUUCUUAAAGGAGAUAAUUUACCCAAAAAAGAAAAUAUACUCAUUAAACUUCUCCUUAAGUGGUUCCAUUCCUUUAACCAUUUCCUUUUUCUGUUGAACACAAAAUUAAAUAUUGUUAAAAAUGUAUUGUUUGUGUUGAACUGAAAAAUAAAGCUCAAACAGGUUUGUAACAAGUAAAGGAAGAGUAAAUGAUGACAAAAUUUUUAGUUUCACCGAACUAUCCCUUUAAAUAAAUUUUCUUAUGUGAGUUCUUAUACUUGCAUACUAACUAACUAACUAGCUUCAUACAUACUGUUGAAGUCAAUUAUUAGCCCCCCUUUGAAUUUUUUCUUUUCGUUUUUAAAUUUUUCCCCAAAUGAUGUUUAACAAGGC
rnacentral:lncRNA from 1 species